UAUUUACCACUCUUGCUUAUCCAAGUAGCUGCUUCUAUUAUUGGAGUAGUUCCCCCACCCUUAACCAACCCUUCUUUCAAGCCAUGUUAUUUGUGAGAGCAUGUGAGGUCUAUUUUCAUGAUUGAGCUUGGUAGAACGUGUUAGGUUUGAGCCGACAAGAGUAGUAUCCCAUGUAGUUCCAAUCCGCGUUUUU
rnacentral:sRNA from 1 species